AUUGAACGCUGGCGGCAUGCCUUACACAUGCAAGUCGAACGGCAGCACGGGAGCAAUCCUGGUGGCGAGUGGCGAACGGGUGAGUAAUAUAUCGGAACGUGCCCAGUAGUGGGGGAUAACGUAGCGAAAGUUACGCUAAUACCGCAUACGAUCUAAGGAUGAAAGCGGGGGGAUCGCAAGACCUCGCGCGAUUGGAGCGGCCGAUAUCAGAUUAGGUAGUUGGUGGGGUAAAGGCUCACCAAGCCAACGAUCUGUAGCUGGUCUGAGAGGACGACCAGCCACACUGGGACUGAGACACGGCCCAGACUCCUACGGGAGGCAGCAGUGGGGAACUUUUGGACAAUGGGCGCAAGCCUGAUCCAGCAAUGCCGCGUGCAGGAUGAAGGCCUUCGGG
rnacentral:rRNA from 1 species